rnacentral:lncRNA from 1 species
GGCCCUUGUAAAUCUCUUCUUCCCAGACUUCAGCAUCUCACUGGUUAAAGUAAAGUAAACCCAGAGGGUUGCUAAAGCUUUGGCCAGAUCCAAGUAAUCAACAGUGCCAUGCGUGUGACAGAGGAACAAGAUCUGGGACAGAUGAGGAUCUCAGAGCUCUCAGCCACGGUUGAGCAGAUCUCUGGGGAUGCUUCCAUAUCCGAUCCAUAGCGAAGUAAGGCUUGUUGCUCAGGGGCUCCAGGAUUUACUGAUCCCAACAUCCUACGUAUCAUUUUUCUGACCCUCAGAAAUAACCUGUCAGUAGAAGCAGGAUUACUGCAAUGAGUGAAUAAAUGUGGAGAAAAUUACUGAAGACA